rnacentral:ncRNA from 1 species
UUGUUGCAAUAGUAAUCCUGCUCAGCACAGGAGGAACCACAGGUUCAGACGCCUGGUGCGUUCACUUGGCUUAGAAGCCACUGGGGCAAGAGUACCAUCUGCAGGCUUAUGCCUGAACACAUCUGAGUCAGAAUACCACCCAGACAUAGUGA